rnacentral:rRNA from 1 species
GAUGAACGCUGGCUACAGGCCUAGCACAUGCAAGUCGAGGGGAAACGACGGGGAAGCUUGCUUCCCCGGGCGUCGACCGUCGCACGGGUGAGUAACGCGUAUCCAACCUGCCUCUGACUGAGGGAUAACCCGUCGAAAGUCGGCCUAAUACCUCAUGGUAUCGUCUGCGGGCAUCCAACGACGAUUAAAGAUUUCAUCGGUCAGUGAUGGGGAUGCGUCUGAUUAGCUUGUUGGCGGGGUAACGGCCCACCAAGGCCACGAACAGUAGGGGUUCUGAGAGGAAGGUCGCUCACAUUGGAACUGGGACACGGACCAAACGCCUACGGGAGGCAGCAGUGAGGAAUAUUGGGCAGUGGGGGGGAGCCUUAGCCAGCCAAGUAGCGUGUAAGAAGACCGCCCUAUGGGUGGUAAACUGGUUUUAUGCGGGGAUAGAGUGAGGAACGUGUCACUUAUUGCAGGCACCGCAUGAAUAAGGACCGGCUAAUUCCGUG